rnacentral:siRNA from 1 species
UACGUCCUGCUAAACUCGUCC